rnacentral:rRNA from 1 species
GCGCGAAACCUUUACAAUGCACGAAAGUGUGAUAGGGGAAAUCAGCGUGCUUAUGGAAACCAUAGGCUUUUCUUUAGGGUAAAUACCUAAGGGAAUAAGGGAUGGGCAAGACCGGUGCCAGCAGCCGCGGUAACACCGGCGUCCCGAGUGGGAAUCACUUAUUAGGUCUAAAGCGCUCGUAGUCGGCUUUGUAAAUUUCUUGUGAAAUCGUGUCGCUUAACGGCACGGCGUGCAGGAAACACUGCAGAGCUUGGGACUGGGAGGCGUCAGAAGUAUUCCUUAGGGAGCGGUAAAAUGUGAUAAUCUAAGGAGGACUACCUGUGGCGAAGGCGUCUGACGAGAACAGGUUCGACGAUCAGGAGCGAAGGCUAGGGGAGCAAACCGG